CACGUAGGGGGCGAGCGUUGUCCGGAAUUACUGGGUGUAAAGGGCGUGUAGGCGGUUUUGUAAGUCAGAUGUGAAAUCUCCGGGCUUAACUCGGAAACUGCAUCUGAAACUAUAAAACUUGAGUACUGGAGAGGAUAGUGGAAUUCCUAGUGUAGCGGUAAAAUGCGUAGAUAUUAGGAGGAACACCAGUGGCGAAGGCGACUAUCUGGACAGUAACUGACGCUGAGGCGCGAAAGCGUGGGGAGCAAACAGGAUUAGAUACCCGCGUAGUCCCUGA
rnacentral:rRNA from 1 species